rnacentral:rRNA from 1 species
AUUAAUAGUUAAGAUCUUAAAACCUAAAGAAUUUGGCGGUAUUAUAGUCUAUUUAGAGGAAUUUGCUAAGUAAUCGAUAAUCCACGUGGAACCUUACUUAUAUAGAUUCUUGUAUAUCGCUGUUUAAGAUAUUUUUAGAUAAAUUUUUGAAAUAUAAUAAUAAUUAAUAUUUCAAGUCAAGGUGCAGUAGUAUAUAAGUUGAAUAGUGAAUUACAAUAAAUUUUAUUUAUUAUGAAUUAUUAUUGAAAAUUAGUUUGAAAGUGAAUUUAAUUGUAAUUUUGUGAAGAUUAUUGAAAUGAUUUUGGCUCUAUAAUAUGU